GGGGCUCCAUGUGAGGUCAGUGUUUGGGUCUCUUCGCCAGGCUCAGGGAGGCUGCUCUUCCAGGAAGGGCUGCAGAGACCCUGGGAACCGGACCAGCCCAGCUCACAAGUAUGAAGAGAAUGUCGGGAGAGGAAGUGGCGGCUGUGAGUCAGCAUGAGUCAUCUCGUUCCAAUGAGAAUGAAGACUGAGGUGUGCGCCUUUUUUUUUUCUUCUUCUUCUUCUUUUUUUUUUUUUUUGGUCUCAAUCGUGGGGACAUCAUUGGGAAUGGAGGGAAAUCAGUGACUGUAUGGUCGUUGCUUUUUAAGUUUCCAACUGGCGUUCCAGGCAAGCCGUGCCUGAGCCGGUGUCUGCCGUGAGAUCUUCAGAGCACGGUUCCUGGGAAGGUAGAACCAUUAGCUUCUCCCUGUCAAGAACUAUCACCUCUUCACUUAAAGGAAGCACCUUACCGCUUCUCUUUGGCAUCCAAGCUGCCAGCAUCACUACUCUUGCGCUUUGGGGCCACCAGCACCACGAGCCCGGACAGUCGAUCUGAUAACCCAGACGGCUACUAAGUGACUGCGGGGCAGGCUGGUGAACACACGGCGUGAAUGCUGUACAAAUGGAAGGUUCACAUCCCGGGACGGUGGGCACGACAUUUCCUCACGCUACUCAGCACGGCGCGCAACUGAAAACUUAUGAAUUGUUUUUUCCAUUUAAAUUUUCGGACUGCGGUUAACCGUGGGUAACCGAAACCGAGGAAAGUGAAACCGCGGAUAAGGGGGACCACUGUGCUCCCUCCUUCCCUCCCUCGAGAGACAGCCCAGCCCAGUCGCCACAGAGCGCUGAUGGAGAAGGCGUCCAUAAAUAAUCGAAAGCCUGCUUUCUGGCGUUUGCACAUUUUGGACCCCGCUCUGCCCCCUGAAGCCACGCAGUUAUAGCCACGAUCGUAAUUAUGGUCAUAAUUCAACACAUUCAUUAACAUUCAUCGAGCAAUUAUUCUGUCCCCAAAACUGCUGAGUUAUAACACGAGCUGGCUUCUUCCGUGCUGGAGCCCUUCCAGCUGCAUGGGCGUCAGCACUGUGUUCACGCUCUUCCCUCUUCCCACGGUUCCUGAGGGAUGCAGUGAGCAGAGAGGCGCUCAGUAGCCUUGACUCGCGCUGCCUCCCUCUGCACGGAUGCUGUUUUUUAAUGUCCCUCUUCCCAUGAGCCUGAUGUCCUGUCUUGGCCUGGAUACUAGGCUGAGGGUUUUGGCCAACACACCCAUUUUGCACCCACACUGUGCUUGCCGUCAGCUGACGUCCUCGCCUCUUUGUGUGGGGCCAUGUGCAAAGCCACGUCUCCCUCCUUUUGCAUUUGAGGUGCUGACUUUUUGUUUUUGAUUUUUUAAAUAUAAGUAGAACUUUGCAUUCUCCUUGGUUGAAUCUUCUGGAUUUGGCCCGUAUAUUCUCCUCAUAUACGAAGCUCACAUCAUCUAGUUGGAGAGGUGUCCCUUUGCAUCUUCACCAGAAGGCCUUUAGGAUGGGUGCAGACCAAGAGCAGAGACCUGUGGCACUCCACUAGUGACUGUCUCCAAGGUUGCCAGCAUCUAGCAUUGUGGGGCAUCUUACAGGAUACCAACAGCUCACCUUGCUGCACAGGUUUGACUGAUGGAGAUGCGAGGACGAUGAGGCAUGUCACACAAUCAAAUGCGUGAUGUGACCCGCAGACAAAUGGGGCGGGUAGCGAUUAUUUAGAUGCUCAGCCCGACUCUUGAUGGGGAGGUCAUCCUCCUCUCUUGUUGUCUCUUUCCCCAUCCUCAAGCCCGGGGAGCUUUUGGCAAGGCUAGCUAACCCUGGGGCAGCUGUUGAUUAGAGACUAGCAGUAAGUUACCUUAAACAUCUGGAACGUUUAAACGCUUGGCUAUCGAUGAUUGCUGUUUUAGUUGUUUACACACAGUCACAUCCUCAGAGUUUGUGGGUUGGUUCAUUCGAUUCGCUUCAGACAUGUCUUUCAAGCUGGCGCCGCUGAGCCUGGCCUGACAGACGGGUGGCUGUCUCUGUGCAGCGGUCCCUUUGAAGUCCUAGCUCAGAGUUAAGCUCCACAGAGGGGAGGAGUGAGACGCAGAAUGAGUACAGACUGCCACCCAGCAGCAUGAGAGGUGACUGCAAACCGGGAGGUUCCCUGGGAGGAAGUGAGUCGCCCAGUCACUGCCUCACCGUCCAAAGUGAGCAUCACCUCCUCUGUGUUCACGGGCUGAGACCAGCACAGGGGGCGCCUGGACAGAACCGGAGCUGCCACAUGAGAGGCACCCCGUGGCUGCCUCCCCCGGUCCCUACACGGCCUCUCAGGUGGUGCAGCCCCUCUGGGCUCCUCCCCGCCUCCACCUGCCCUCCGGGUGCCAAAAUGAUUAGAACCAUCCAUCUCCAAUUUCCACCAUUCUCCGUGAAAAUUAAGUCACCGGCUGGUGGUGGACUUCUUAUCGAAAUGGCAAUUUUUCUCCAUAUUUCAGAAAAGAGACAGUCCCAGAAUUAUCUGAGCAAACUGAUUCAAAAGAUCAUUACAGUAACUCUGUGCUCUGCUGGUGGAAAAGGGGAGCUCCUGGUCCUCCUGCGGGAGGUUUGAAUUUCUGUCUCCCACAGGAUGCAGGACAGAGUAACUAUGCUGCUUCCACUGCGUGUAGUGAGUUAGUUUAAUUCUGAAAGGGCCUCCUGGCAACAGGAGGGGAUGGCUUUUCUAUCCAUGGGGUCCCUUUAACGGGCCAGGUGUGUGCUGGCUGCUUUACGUCUAUCAAGUUGUUUAAGCCCGUGCCCUUCCCACCAGGGCUGGGCACUGUUCACCCACGUUGCGCGGGAGCUGACUGAGGCUGUGAAGAGUUGGAGGGUGCACAGCUCAAGGCAGAGCCGCAAUCGCCAGCCUCAUCCAAAACACGAAGCUUCAAUGGGCCGAAUGUCUGGCUUUGCUGGAUUCUGUUUUCCAAGAUCACAUCCAGAUCGAAGCCUUUUAGGAUCAUUUGAGUAGAUUAUUUCCAAGGGAAGACAAUUUUUCUGGUAACCCGUGCCCCAGCAGCUCUUUCCUGGCCUCAGGGAAUCUCACGGGAAGCUCUGUGGUUCGUCAUGGGGAGCACCCUCCUGCCAUGGGCACCUCGAGGUUGUCACCCAGAAAGGGGCUCUGGCCUCAGGUGGCACUGACCAUCGGCUGAUGCUCCCCAGCAUCUCUUGAGAUGAGCACACGGAACAUCUCUUUUAACUGCAAAUGUGGUGAAUAGGGAAUAGAGUUUCCAGCUUUCAUUUUUAAAAAUAAGAUUCAAAAAUGCAACUCUAUAAAAAGGUGUCCAGUGAAAAGCACAGACCGCUCCCCACCAGCCUCCCGUCCAAUCCCCACUGACCGCCCCUCCGUAAACCUUUUCUUAGUUUCUUACCUAUCUGGCCAGAGUUUCUUUAUGCAAAUAGAAGCAAACAGUUGAAUGAACGUUUUUCUUUUCUUCCCUGUUUUCCACAAAAACUAUCACAAUCGUUUUUUUUACUGUCAAACGCUUUUGUGUCCUUGGGACAACUGGCGUGCAUGUUCCAAGCACAGCGGCCCUGCAUUUGGGAUGAAUCUCAGGGCUCAAGUGGGGCUGGCUGAGCUUGCCCUUCUCCCACGUCCUGUGGGUGGGGCCCUGUACUUACCCAGGCAUCUAGGGAACAGGUGGGCAGGCCUCGCACACAGGGAAGGCCCCGAGCGAAGCCCCAUGGGGCCAGAAUGGCAAGCUGCCAUCAGCGGGGUCAGGCUGUUCUGAGACAUGUUCCCAGGGGCUGGGACGCCAUUCCCCAGGGUGACAAUCUGGAAACCAGGAGAGGGCCAGAAAGGGGAGCAGUGACUGGGAUGCCCUGCGUUUUGUGAGGUUCCCGGACCCCCAGAGUCAACUUGACACCAAAUUGUAUUUACCAAAGAGAUGGAGGAGGAAAUGGAGAUUGAGUGUUCCAAAGAAUUAACCUCAGAAUUCUUUGAAACAAACCUCCUCUACGGAACGUUGCUGCACUACCUGAGGCAAGAGGCGCCACCAGCAGCCACGGCUGACUUCACAAAGCCCGUCUCCAGGCCAGGCACCUUUCUGAGUGUCCCACACACUCUAACUCACCGAAUAACCCUCAGUAAUAGUGCCCAUUUUUCAGAGAGGAAGCACAGCCUGAGGUCACGUAGCUAACAAGUGGGAGAGCCAGGCUUCCAGGCCACACAGCCAGCCGCGCCUGCCACAGCCGGCUUCUCAG
ensembl:lncRNA